UCAGAUUGAACGCUGGCGGCAUGCCUUACACAUGCAAGUCGAACGGCAGCGCGGGAGCAAUCCUGGCGGCGAGUGGCGAACGGGUGAGUAAUACAUCGGAACGUGCCCAAUCGUGGGGGAUAACGCAGCGAAAGCUGUGCUAAUACCGCAUACGAUCUACGGAUGAAAGCAGGGGAUCGCAAGACCUUGCGCGAAUGGAGCGGCCGAUGGCAGAUUAGGUAGUUGGUGAGGUAAAGGCUCACCAAGCCUUCGAUCUGUAGCUGGUCUGAGAGGACGACCAGCCACACUGGGACUGAGACACGGCCCAGACUCCUACGGGAGGCAGCAGUGGGGAAUUUUGGACAAUGGGCGCAAGCCUGAUCCAGCCAUGCCGCGUGCAGGAUGAAGGCCUUCGGGUUGUAAACUGCUUUUGUACGGAACGAAACGGCCUUUUCUAAUAAAGAAGGCUAAUGACGGUACCGUAAGAAUAAGCACCGGCUAACUACGUGCCAGCAGCCGCGGUAAUACGUAGGGUGCAAGCGUUAAUCGGAAUUACUGGGCGUAAAGCGUGCGCAGGCGGUUAUGUAAGACAGUUGU
rnacentral:rRNA from 1 species